GCAAGUCGAGGGGUAACAGGGAGCUUGCUCCGCUGACGACCGGCGCACGGGUGCGUAACGCGUAUACAAUCUACCCAUCACUGAGGAAUAGCCCGAAGAAAUUUGGAUUAACGCCUCAUGGUAUCACUAAGCGGCAUCGCUUUAUGAUUAAAGGUUACGGUGAUGGAUGAGUAUGCGUCCUAUUAGCUUGUUGGUAGGGUAACGGCCUACCAAGGCUGCGAUAGGUAGGGGUCCUGAGAGGGAGAUC
rnacentral:rRNA from 1 species